GCCUGGGUGGCUCAGUGGGUUAAGCAUCUGACUUCAGCUCAGGUCAUGAUCUGAGGUUUGUGAGUUCAAGCCCCACCUCGAGCU
rnacentral:tRNA from 1 species